AAUGAACGCUGGCGGCGUGCCUCAGACAUGCAAGUCGAACGAGAAAGCAUCUUCGGGUGUGAGUACAGUGGCGCACGGGUGAGUAAUACUUGGGUAACGUACCUUUUUGCUGGGGAUAACUGGAGGAAACUCCAGCUAAUACCGAAUAGUCCCUUCGGGGUAAAGUCGUAAGGCGCGAAAAGAUCGGCCCAAGUCCCAUUAGCUAGUUGGUAAGGUAAAGGCUUACCAAGGCGACGAUGGGUAGCUGGUCUGAGAGGAUGAUCAGCCACACUGGUACUGGAACACGGACCAGACUCCUACGGGAGGCAGCAGUUAGGAAUUUUGCGCAAUGGGGGCAACCCUGACGCAGCAACGCCGCGUGAGUGAAGAAGGAUUUCGGUUCGUAAAGCUCUUUCAGCAGGAAAGAAGAUGACGGUACCUGCAGAAGAAGCACCGGCUAACUCCG
rnacentral:rRNA from 1 species